rnacentral:rRNA from 1 species
GACAGAGGGUGCAAACGUUGUUCGGAAUUACUGGGCGUAAAGCGUGUGUAGGCGGCUUGCCAAGUCGGAUGUGAAAGCCCCGGGCUCAACCUGGGAAGUGCACUCGAUACUGGCGAGCUAGAGUAUCGGAGAGGUUGGUGGAAUUCUCGGUGGAGAGGUGAAAUUCGUAGAUAUCGAGGGGAACACCAGUGGCGAAGGCGGCCAACUGGACGAAUACUGACGCUGAGACACGA